GGUGAGAUGGCCGAGCGGUCCGAGGUGUGUGACCUAAGCGGAAGUGAUUACAUAAUCAUUAGCAGCUUGCCCGAUUUGGGUUUCUCAUCAUCGUAUGAUGGCAGGGGUUCGAAUCCCCUUCUCAUCA